rnacentral:lncRNA from 1 species
AUAUAUACAAAACGUGAUUAAACUUGUAAACUACAAGUAGUACAUGUAUAUUCGUUGAAAUAGAAAAAGAAAAUGCUCCUUCGUACAUACAUCUUGGUCACAAAUCACAAUCAAAUUUGUCCACAAGUAUUUUUAAGUAGAUAACACUUAAUAACACAAGAAAAAGCUGGUCCAAAUAAGUAACUAUGAAAAUUCUGCUCGUCUUACUAGGAAAGAAACUAGAAAAUACAUGUAUUGUCCUACUAUAAGAAUAUAACAGCUAGCUAGGAAUAGUAUACAAACAAUUCUCCAAUAUGUAAGCACGAGGGGGGAAAUAGAGCUUAUAUUCAAUGCAUGGACAGUUUAAAUAAUUUUUAUUCAUCAGUACAUUAACAAAAUACGCUCUACAGCAACAUCGAUGUAGUUAUUUAGUACUCUAUUCGGUUUUAUUUGUUAUAUUUUAAAUUGACACAUCUAUUAAGAAAAAUAAUUAAUAACAUGACUACUUUUUAUCGGAGUAUCCCUAUUAAGUGAUGCUUACAUUGUAUCUUGAAACUAAUUGAAAAAAAAAUAAUUAAUAUUAAGAGUGAAAUAGAAAAAAAUUGUAGUAAAACUAGAAAUUCAAUUAGGAAAUUAGUAACAAGUAAAAGCGAACGGACGGAGUAGAAAGAUCCACCAAUAUUGUACUAUUACCAAUUAAUUACACUUAUAUAAUAUAAAAUUUUUACCCUAAUAUAAUUUACGCUCAAUAUUUAACACUAUUACAU